UCACUGAAUUGCUUUGCUUGGCUUCAAACU
rnacentral:piRNA from 2 species